UACGGAGGGAGCUAGCGUUGUUCGGAAUUACUGGGCGUAAAGCGCACGUAGGCGGCUUUUUAAGUCAGGGGUGAAAUCCCGGGGCUCAACCCCGGAACUGCCCUUGAAACUGGAGAGCUAGAAUCUUGGAGAGGCGAGUGGAAUUCCGAGUGUAGAGGUGAAAUUCGUAGAUAUUCGGAGGAACACCAGUGGCGAAGGCGACUCGCUGGACAAGUAUUGACGCUGAGGUGCGAAAGCGUGGGGAGCAAACAGG
rnacentral:rRNA from 1 species